GCCCUCGUGCCAUUUGCAUCCGAAACGACUCUCGGCAACGGAUAUCUCGGCUCUCGCAUCGAUGAAGAACGUAGCGAAAUGCGAUACUUGGUGUGAAUUGCAGAAUCCCGUGAACCAUCGAGUCUUUGAACGCAAGUUGCGCCCGAAGCCGCUAG
rnacentral:rRNA from 1 species